GGGCCCAAAAUUUUUAGGGCCCGAGGCGGGAUCCUCAACUGCCUAAAGGCAGGGCCGGCCCUGGUUGGAAGGCGAGGAGGUAGACCACAACGGCAACGGCCAUGGCGUUGAAGAAGCCGAAGUACUUGGCCCCCUCUUUCUCGUCGCCGGAGGUGGGGACUUCACGGAGGAAGAGGGCGGCGGUCAAGCAGAUGAGGAAAGGGACGAUGGCGAGUAUGAGGACGAAGGUGGAGGGGUCGUCGGAGCAUUCUUUUUUAAGUUAUGGAAAUUCUGUUCUCUCUUUUUUUUAUUUUUUUAUUUAUUUUGUGUGUAGUCUUUUUGAGGAUUUUAAUUCAUUGCACAAGUUGAGUCUGUGACUCUGGUAUUUCUAAGUAAUGAUUUAUCAUCAAUUCUUCAUCCUUCGUGCAUUUCGCGGAGUCCUCGGCUGUAAUUUCUGGGCAUGCGUUCAUACAUUUUCGUCAUUUUUUGCUGAUUUUUCCAGUAAAAAACUGAUGAAACAUAAGCUGAUUUUUGCCCAACUUCAGUAGAUUUUUUCUUUUUUCGGUAAUUUGGUGUUGCAUUGUGAUGGAUCUGAUGCAAAAUCAGUAGAUCGAACUCUCAGAACUGUUCAGCGACUGAAGAAAAUGUUGGUUUGGCUUUGUUAGGAUUGAACCCGCUAGUUGUUAACGGCGGCCAUUACUGAGAUGUUUGAGUUUAAAAUGAGCUUCCAACAACGCCCUUCUCGAAUGUCCACAACGAGCGUGACCAGAUAUUUGUUAGAUAAUAUGUAUAUUUGACUAGGGGCAAUUUAGUCUAUGCACAUAUUUAGGUUUAGGUUUAUUUUUGUAUUAAAUCUCUUUGUAUUACUUUUCUAAAUUACUGAAGACGGUUUGUCUGCGCAGCUUCUUUGUCUCUCUCUCUCUCUCGUUGAACCUUGUAUGGACGUAUGAAUCUUUACAUGGUAUCAGAGAGGCCGAUCCUCUUCGUGGAUAUUCGCUGCUAGGUAGUUGUUUGAAGCACUCGCAGACGCCGUCGCCGUUCAGAAUCUGCAAUCGCCAUUGUCGUUCAUCGUUCAGCGUCUGCAGUAGUCGUCUGUAGUCGCCGUCGUCGUUCAGACAGCACUGAACUCCCCUUCCUUUGUUUCGGUAGACAGCACCGUCCCUCAAUCUCUGUAGUCACCGUCGUCUGUAGUCGCCGUCGUCGUUCAGACAGCACUGAACUCCCUGCACUGAACUUCCCUUCCUCACUUUCCGACAGACAGCACCGUCGGCAGUCGUUGUUUGCAGUUUCUUGUUCUCUGCUCUUGAUUUCUGAAGAGAUUUGGCUCAGCUUUUGUGUUUUCAUGGUUCCAAAGUUGCAUUGGUUCAGAUUGCAGUGUGGAUUGAAUCGGUUUGGUUUCCUUGGCUGAACCAAGGACUGAACCCAUCUGUUUGGUUCUUCACCUUCAGACCAGUUCUGCUCCACAGAUCUCAGGAUGAUUUGCACAUGCCAAGUGGACCCAUCACAAAAGCUAGAGCCAAGGAGGUCAAGGAGGCUGCGCAAGGACUAAUUGAGAAGUUGCUUGAGUAAGAGUCAAUGAAGGUCAUGGACACUAAAGAAAAGGACUUUCUUGAAGAGCCUAAGAUGAUAAAUUGUCUAAAGACGUGUGAAACUGGAACCUUAAGUCAAUAAAGGUUGUUUCAAGAAUUUUUAUAGGCUAAAUAGUGGGUCAAUUGUGUCAAUUAAGCAUGACAUGAGACUUGUACAUGUUUCAUUAAAUGACAUGGCACAUGGCGUGUGAUUUGCACAUGUUUCAUUAAAUGACAUGACAUGCUUAAGGUUAUGUGGAGCUAUUUUAUUGGCCAGAUUGAUGUCAUAGCCUAUUUUUAUUGGCCGAACUGAUGUUAUGGGUUUCUUUUAUGUUCUAUAAGUAGCCAACUCUCUGUUGUAUUAGGGAGGAAUAUUUUUUUGGCUAAAUACAAUUCCAAGUGAGAUUUAUUUCU